rnacentral:misc_RNA from 1 species
CCUCCUUUCUAAGGAUGAAUAAAAGUAAAAUUUUAUUCUAAAUAAUAUACAGGUUAAUGUUGACCGUCCUCAUUUCUCUUCUUGAAGUAGUGUUUCUCUUUUCUGCAUAGGGGCCGGUAGCUCAGUUGGUUAGAGCACACCCUUGAUAAGGGUGGGGUCGAAAGUUCGAGUCUUUCUCGGCCCACCAAAUUUACGGGGGAUUAGCUCAGCUGGGAGAGCGCCUGAUUUGCAUUCAGGAGGUCAGCGGUUCGAUCCCGCUAUCCUCCACCAAGAAACACUUAGUUAUUUUAAAAGUGAAUAUUUUAAUAUUAUCAAUAUCUAUAUCCGAACAUUAAUUAAUUAAUGUUCAAAUAAAAAAUUUGAUUCAACACAGAAUUUUUUUCUGUGCAUAAAUCAAGCGUUUAAGGGCGUGUGGCGGAUGCCUUGGCACUGAAAGCCGAAGAAGGACGUGGUAUACUGCGAUAAGUUACGGGGAGUUGUAUGCAAGUUUUGAUCCGUAAAUUCCGAAUGGGGAAACCAAGGGCGAAUUCUGCAA